rnacentral:rRNA from 1 species
GACGAACGCUGGCGGCGUGCUUAACACAUGCAAGUCGAACGAUGAAGCCGGAGCUUGCUCUGGUGAAUUAGUGGCGAACAGGUGAGUAACACGUGAGUAACCUGCCCUUGACUCUGGGAUAACUGCGGGAAACUGUAGCUAAUACCGGAUACGACCCUCGGAGGCAUCUCCUGGGGGUGGAAAGAAUUUCGGUCAAGGAUGGACUCGCGGCCUAUCAGCUAGUUGGUGAGGUAAAGGCUCACCAAGGCGACGACGGGUAGCCGGCCUGAGAGGGUGACCGGCCACACUGGGACUGAGACACGGCCCAGACCCCUACGUGAGGCAGCAGUGGGGAAUAUCGCACAAUGGGCGCAAGCCUGAUGCAGCAACGCCGCGUGAGGGAUGACGGCCUUCGGGUUGUAAACCUCUUUUAGCAGGGAAGAAGCGAAAGUGACGGUACCUGCAGAAAAAGCACCGGCUAACUACGUGCCAGCAGCCGCCGUAA